UACGAAGGGUGCAAACGUUGCUCGGAAUUAUUGGGCGUAAAGCGCACGUAGGCGGCUUUGCAAGUCGGAUGUGAAAUCCCUCGGCUUAACCAAGGAAGUGCAUCCGAAACUGCAGAGCUUGAGUACUUAAGAGGAUCGCGGAAUUCCCGGUGUAGAGGUGAAAAUUCGUAGAUAUUCGGAAGGAACACCAGUGGCGAAGGCGGCUCACUGGCCCAUAACUGACGCUGAGGCACGAAAGCGUGGGGGAGCAAACAGG
rnacentral:rRNA from 1 species